ensembl:snRNA U6 U6 spliceosomal RNA
GUGCUCACUUCAGCAGCACAUAUACUAAAACUGGAAUGAUACAGAGAACAUUAACAUGGCCCCUGCAGAAGGAAGACACACAAAUUCGUAAAGUGUUCCAUAUUUUU